AGACGUCUACAUUAGAUACCCGGGUAGUCCCAGCCCUAAACGAUGCGCGUUAGGUGUAUCGGUGACCACGAGUCACCGAGGUGCCGAAGGGAAACCGUGAAACGUGCCGCCUGGGAAGUACGGUCGCAAGGCUGAAACUUAAAGGAAUUGGCGGGGGAGCACAACAACGGGUGGAGCUUGCGGUUUAAUUGGAUUCAACGCCGGAAAUCUUACCGGGACCGACAGCAACAUGAAGGCCAGGCUGAAGACUUUGCCGGAUUUAGCUG
rnacentral:rRNA from 1 species